GGGGCUUCGAGCGGGUCUGCUUUUCGUUUCCGUUUUCCUCCUUUCCCCAGGCUCAUCCCCAGACCGGAAGGUGCCGGGGCCGAGCGGCGCCCAGGCCCACCCGCCCUGAGCCUCCGGAGUUGGGCCACGAGGGCGCCCGCUCCUCCUGGACCCCGCCCAUCAGAGCGGAGAGCGGCUCAGGGUGCGCCUGUCUGGACGGAUCUCCCGCAGGUGGAAAGUGAACGUGUAGUCGAGUUGAAGCUGGUGCCUUGGGGGAAGGAGAAACACGCUGGUGGGCAGAGAUUCCAGAGGGAGAGCCCUCAGGAGCGCCUCGGUGCCUCGGGCCCGUGGCGUGGUCUUGUCGCGCGCUGGACCCCGCGGCUUAUCCCCCCCAGCCUCCGCACAGCCGCCCCGAGCGGCCUCGGGGCCGUGCCAGUUUCGCCGCUUUAAACGCCUUGCAUCCUGAUAUUUUUCCGUCUCCCCUCCAGAUCCUCGACGCAGUGACGCAGAGCCGAGCCUUUCAGGGUUGGCUGCAAGCCAAAGCCCAGCCUCCCGAUGCAGUCUGGAGCCAGCCAGUGUGAAGAGGAGCCCCCUUCCCUCCUGUGGGGUUUGGACCCGGUAUUCUUAGCCUUUGCAAAACUCUACAUCAGGGAUAUCCUGAACUUGAAGGAGUCCCGCCAGGUACAAGGUGUAUUUUUUUACAAUGGGCAUCCAAUAAAGCAGGUAGAGAUCUUGGGAACUGUAAUUGGAAGGAGAGAAAAAGAUGCUUUCUACAGUUAUGGAGUGGAUGACAGCACUGGAGUUAUAAAUUGCAUCUGCUGGAAAAAGUCGAACAAUAUCGAGUCUUCAUCAGCAACUACAGCUGCUCCAACUGCAGGGGAGCUGAGCUUAACCUCACAGCUUAAGAAGCUCCAAGAGACCAUUGAGCAGAAGACAAAGAUAGAAAUUGGGGACAUUAUCCAAAUCAGAGGUUAUGUCCACACAUAUAGAGAAGAACGAGAGAUUCGUGUCACUACUUUCUAUAAAGUGGAUGAUCCAGUGUGCAACAUUCAAAUUGCAAGGAUGCUUGAGCUGCCCAGUAUCUACAGGAAAGUUUAUGACCAGCCUUUCCGCAUCCCAGCCCUAGAGCAAGAAAGCAGCGAUCCAGGUGCCCUGGACCUUGCCAAUCUCACGUGUUUGCUGAGUGAAAGAGCCAAAGAAUUCCUCAUGGAGAACAAAGUGCAAACCUUUUACCAGCAGGAAUUGGAAAUUGUGGAAUCUCUGCUAUCCCUUGCCAAUCAGCCUGUGAUUCACGGCACCUCCUCUGAGCAGGAUUCUAAGAAUGACACCACUUCCAAGGCAAUUCAUAGUAUAUUUAAGAAUGCAAUACAGCUGCUGCAGGAAAAAGGAUUUGUUUUCCAGAAAGAUCAUGGUUUUGAUAAGCUAUAUUAUGUAACCAGAGAAGACAAAGAACUACAUAGAAAGAUCCACCAUAUCAUUCAAGAAGACUGCCAAAAACCAAAUCCAGACACCGAGAAGGGCUGCCACUUCCAGCACAUCUUGGCCUGUGCUCGCCUGAGCAUCAGCCCGGGCCUGAGUGAAGGUGUGCUGCAGCAGGUGCUGGAGCUCCUGGAGGACCAGAGUGACAUCGUCAGCACAACAGAGCACUACUACACGGCGUUCUGAGGAGAGGCCUUCUGAGGAGAGACCAGUGGACGGCGUGGGCGGGGCCAGGCCACGGAAGAGGAAGACGGGGUGGUGGUCACUCCUGGGCUCUGAUUUUAAACAUCACCCUGAGUCCUAUAGCCAUGACAUAGAAGAAAACCUUCCCUGUUGACCUCCAGACUGGACUGGACGUUUGCCCUUGGAGCAGAAGGGAGGAAACAGUGUAAGUGGCUGAAUUGGUGUGUGUGUGGCUUAAGGUUCUGUCAUAGUAAAGGGAUGUCACAUGGUAAAGUGAACUGAAAAGCAUAUAGCCAGAUCACACAGACCUAAAACAUUUUAAAACUUCAGACUGGCAGGUACAUUCUUGUAGGCCUCUCUCAGUGGUUAAGAACUUAGUGUAGGGAACUCAUUCUUGGAUGAGUAUCACUCAUCUGUGAUUUCCAAGGGUCAAGUACCAGUGGUGGAUUCUGAAUCCUGGGAUGGAUGUUGUUUGCAGACCCACCCGGAGAUGAGAAUAAAUGGAUCCAAGGCAUGGCUGUGUUGGUCAUUAACUUCUUUUCUUUAUGAAUCAAAAGGUGUCUCAGUGUAUUUCCCUAAACUUGAUGAUAUACGUGACUAAAGACAUUGUCCUUUAAUGCCCUGAAGUCCCUUGCCGGGCCGGUAGACACUGUUUUCAAGGUUACCACUAAAUGUGCAAGGCGUCCUGACAUCCAGACAAAGACUGUAUGUGCCCAGACAGGUGAUGGAGUCAUGGUGUUGCUAGGAAUGACAAGGUAAAGGGGGAAAAUCUGAGAUAUGUAGUAGGCUUGUUCUAACAGCUAAAUGACAAAUCCAG